AGGACAAUGUUGUCUUUGUUACAAAAACACGCACGUUUCAUAUUAAUUGGUGAAGUAACUUUACAUGUGAGAACGAAACACGAUGCACGGGGAGAAUUGGAGCAAUUUGGAAUGCAAAUUUCUAAGUGGUGUUUGCAUCGAGAACUUGGCGUUGGUCGUUGGAUCGCCAGGUACAUAGUUACCAUCCGGCGACUCUUUCGCAUCGAAAAACCUGUUGGAAGCUUCGAAGACGAUGGAACUGGUAUUUCAAUUUCAUAUAGGAUGAAGCAACGAAUCUGGCAAGAAAUAGCGGAUGAUACGUAACGACUGCUUAAUUUACGUGGGAUUUACGUGGAAGAUGAGAAACGCAUAGCUGUGGAUUGCGCUGCAAGAUGACGAGUUGCGGACGAAUAAAAUGGUUGGAACAAAGGUAAAGCGAGAAAGGUGAAAGAAAUAUUACCGUGGUAUCUUUUGCGUUAUUUUAAGGCAAAUGUGCUCCACUAUCGCGAUACUCGGGUGUAUACAGCUGUCUGGUACAAUUCCACGCAAAAAGCUUUAAAAAAUCUUUUUGUGGUAAUUCUUUAGGAUAAUUGUAGCCUACAAAACCAUCGCGAUAAUAUAAUCGUGUGUAUUACGUAACGAAAAGCGACUUAGCAGUUCUGCUUGCAAGAAAACGUCCUAUCGUAAUCCAGCUAUCAACCAUUUAUCAGAAACAUAUAAAUGCUUUUUUGUAAUUAGGUAUGAACGAUUAAUCGCAUAACAAGUAGGCUCGCACAAGGAGGCAUCUAACUGACCUAUCGAAGAAAAGUUCACUAUCCAGAAUGGAACAGGGAUGCUUUGUCAUUGAAAUAAUUAUAGAAAGCCCACGUUUCAAAGAAGACUUUGUAUUCAUGGCCGCUCCAUAGAAAACUCUUUUAAAUAUGUACUUAUAUUUUGUCAAGCAGUCGAGAUAACGAUGUUUAUAAUAUAAAUCAAUAAUUAGAUAAUUAACGAUAUACUUCUUAAUGAUACACUGUUUUAUGUUGAUAAACUUCCUCGUCAGGUCAACGACAAAUAUUUUCGAUUCUAACUACACACAUAUGUAUUGUA